rfam:Ovis aries breed Texel chromosome 15, whole genome shotgun sequence.
UCCCUGACGGUCCAAUGGUUAAGACUCCACACUCCCAAUGUAGGGGGCACAGGUUCGAUCCCUGGUCAGGGAG